GUGACACAAACUUCUGUUGCCCAUACUGGAAUAUGCAGUUGUGACGGGGCUGGCCGCGCCCUCUUCACGGUGGGCAGGCUUCGCCCGCGCCUCGGCACUGGUGGCCGGGGCAGCGUCGGGCUCCCCGUUGUGCCCUUCCUCGUGGUGUGGCUCGUGGGUUGCAAGGCACCGCGCCUGGGCACCGCACCCGUUCCUAUCUGCGCCUCCUCGUCGUCAGUGACGGUGGCAGCCAAUGUCCGGUGGAGCAUCGGGCGAAAGCUCUACCUGACUGCGUGUUAGGUCAACACUGCCGGCGCUAUUUUGGUAUCAUUUUCCUUCCUUGAGAUGCUGUUGUGAUGCUUUCUGCAAUGGGCAGUAGUCCUCUGGGUGAAAAUCUUACUCCGACUCAUUGGAUGGGCGGCGACAGCGUCUUCAGCGUUGUGUUCUCCUUGGAGGCAUCGCCAUGGAGGUUCUGUGCGUAUAAAUUCUUUGUCUAAGUGGGGCUCUUUGUUGUGGUUUCUAUGUGGAAGGAUUUGGCAAGCACGUAAGCAACAAACAAUACAAACAUCAAAUUUCUAAGUAGACAAGAUGUGUUGGAUUUGUGUUGUGCAGAGGUUUGGUGCAACCAGACUCAAACGUGAAUGAAGAAGAAGAUUGAAGCAUAGUCUUCUAGUUUUCUUUCUUAGUUUUAGUGCUUUCGGUUUUAUAUUUGUAUCCCUCAUUUUGAGGAUUAUAGUGUAAGUGCUCUUGUAAUCUUUGGCUUUAUAUAUCCACCACGUGAAUAUAAAAGGCCGGUUUCUAA